CAAGAAGUAAAUGACUUGUUACGAUUGUUGUACAACCAACGACAAAAUGUGUGUCAGCUACCAGAUUAUUUACUAACAGACCUGUGAAUAAACCGUCAUGACACGCCAUCAAUUAGCAGUUUCCAGAUUUCUGCUAUUUCUGUCCCUCUUUGCCCUGCUGUGAUAAAACUGAUGAGACAUCACAGAGAAAUUAGUUUUGCUGCUCCAGCUCAGCGAACCGCUCUUCUUUUAAAUCCUACGUUUCAUUGGAAAGAAAAGCUGUCCGGAUGCUCAGAUGUAGUCCAAAACCACCAAAAUCAGGGUCUAAUGGAGUGGUGGUGGUAGUAGUAGUGCUUUAGGGCUGUUUCUGGGCAUGGAUCAUAUCAGAAUGUGGACAAAAUAAUAAAGAAGGAAAAUUCCUGACUGGAGUAGAAAUGGUUGUUCCAGCAAGACCAUGACCCAAAACACACAUCAAAAUGGGUUUGAAACAGCAACGUCAGGCUGAAGUUAUGCUUCUCAGAGUCGCCUUCUCAAAGUCCUGACCUCAAGUCUGCACCAGAAUACCAACAAAUGGUUGACUGAACUCCACCAGUCUUGUGCAAGAAGCUUGUGCAGUAUAUAAAUUCUCAAUUCUGAAAACAAGAUUGGAGAUUUUGUUAAAAAAAGGAUGAUUUGUUAAUUCUCUUGAUUUUUUAUUUAAUGGACAAAAUACAAAGGAAAUA